CUGGCUCAGGAUGAACGCCGGCGGUGUGCCUAAUACAUGCAAGUCGUACGCACUGGCCCAACUGAUUGAUGGUGCUUGCACCUGAUUGACGAUGGAUCACCAGUGAGUGGCGGACGGGUGAGUAACACGUAGGUAACCUGCCUCGGAGCGGGGGAUAACAUUUGGAAACAGAUGCUAAUACCGCAUAACAACAAAAGCCACAUGGCUUUUGUUUGAAAGAUGGCUUUGGCUAUCACUCUGGGAUGGACCUGCGGUGCAUUAGCUAGUUGGUAAGGUAACGGCUUACCAAGGCGAUGAUGCAUAGCCGAGUUGAGAGACUGAUCGGCCACAAUGGAACUGAGACACGGUCCAUACUCCUACGGGAGGCAGCAGUAGGGAAUCUUCCACAAUGGGCGCAAGCCUGAUGGAGCAACACCGCGUGAGUGAAGAAGGGUUUCGGCUCGUAAAGCUCUGUUGUUGGAGAAGAACGUGCGUGAGAGUAACUGUUCACGCAGUGACGGUAUCCAACCAGAAAGUCACGGCUAACUACGUGCCAGCAGCCGCGGUAAUACGUAGGUGGCAAGCGUUAUCCGGAUUUAUUGGGCGUAAAGCGAGUGCAGGCGGUUCAAUAAGUCUGAUGUGAAAGCCUUCGGCUCAACCGGAGAAUUGCAUCAGAAACUGUUGAACUUGAGUGCAGAAGAGGAGAGUGGAACUCCAUGUGUAGCGGUGGAAUGCGUAGAUAUAUGGAAGAACACCAGUGGCGAAGGCGGCUCUCUGGUCUGCAACUGACGCUGAGGCUCGAAAGCAUGGGUAGCGAACAGGAUUAGAUACCCUGGUAGUCCAUGCCGUAAACGAUGAGUGCUAAGUGUUGGGAGGUUUCCGCCUCUCAGUGCUGCAGCUAACGCAUUAAGCACUCCGCCUGGGGAGUACGACCGCAAGGUUGAAACUCAAAGGAAUUGACGGGGGCCCGCACAAGCGGUGGAGCAUGUGGUUUAAUUCGAAGCAACGCGAAGAACCUUACCAGGUCUUGACAUCCAGUGCAAACCUAAGAGAUUAGGUGUUCCCUUCGGGGACGCUGAGACAGGUGGUGCAUGGCUGUCGUCAGCUCGUGUCGUGAGAUGUUGGGUUAAGUCCCGCAACGAGCGCAACCCUUGUCAUUAGUUGCCAUCAUUAAGUUGGGCACUCUAAUGAGACUGCCGGUGACAAACCGGAGGAAGGUGGGGAUGACGUCAAGUCAUCAUGCCCCUUAUGACCUGGGCUACACACGUGCUACAAUGGACGGUACAACGAGAAGCGAACCUGCGAAGGCAAGCGGAUCUCUUAAAGCUGUUCUCAGUUCGGACUGUAGGCUGCAACUCGCCUACACGAAGCUGGAAUCGCUAGUAAUCGCGGAUCAGCACGCCGCGGUGAAUACGUUCCCGGGCCUUGUACUCACCGCCCGUCA
rnacentral:rRNA from 1 species